UUCGGGAUGCCGGCGAGUGGCGAACGGGUGAGUAACACGUGGAAACCUGUCUAUGGGUGGGGGACAACAGCUGGAAACGGCUGCUAAUACCGCAUACGCCCUACGGGGGAAAGAUUUAUUGCCCAUAGAGGGGUCCGCGUCGGAUUAGCUAGUUGGUGGGGUAAAGGCCUACCAAGGCGACGAUCUGUAGCUGGUCUGAGAGGAUGGUCAGCCACACUGGGACUGAGACACGGCCCAGACUCCUACGGGAGGCAGCAGUGGGGAAUAUUGCGCGAUGGGGGAAACCCUGACGCAGCGACGCCGCGUGGGUGAAGAAGGCCUUCGGGUUGUAAAGCCCUUUCAGUGGGGAAGAUAGUGACGGUACCCACAGAAGAAGCUCCGGCUAACUCCGUGCCAGCAGCCGCGGUAAUACGGAGGGGGCGAGCGUUGUUCGGAAUUACUGGGCGUAAAGGGCGCGUAGGCGGUUUAUCAAG
rnacentral:rRNA from 1 species